rnacentral:rRNA from 1 species
AACGAACGCUGGCGGCAUGCCUAACACAUGCAAGUCGAACGAGAUCUUCGGGUCUAGUGGCGCACGGGUGCGUAACGCGUGGGAAUCUGCCCUUUGGUUCGGAAUAACAGUUGGAAACGACUGCUAAUACCGGAUGAUGACGAAAGUCCAAAGAUUUAUCGCCAGAGGAUGAGCCCGUGUAGGAUUAGCUAGUUGGUGUGGUAAAGGCGCACCAAGGCGACGAUCCUUAGCUGGUCUGAGAGGAUGAUCAGCCACACUGGGACUGGGACACGGCCCAGACUCCUACGGGAGGCAGCAGUGGGGAAUAUUGGACAAUGGGCGAAAGCCUGAUCCAGCAAUGCCGCGUGAGUGAUGAAGGCCUUAGGGUUGUAAAGCUCUUUUACCCGGGAUGAUAAUGACAGUACCGGGAGAAUAAGCUCCGGCUAACUCCGUGCCAGCCGCCGCGGUAA